rnacentral:rRNA from 1 species
CGCUGGCGGCGUGCCUAAUACAUGCAAAGUCGAAGCGAAUGGAAUUGAGAGCUUGCUCUCAAGGAAGUUAGCGGCGGACGGGUGAGUAACACGUGGGUAACCUGCCCAUAAGACUGGGAUAAACUCCGGGAAAACCGGGGCUAAUACCGGAUAACAUUUUGAAACUGCAUGGUUCGAAAUUGAAAGGCGGCUUCGGCUGUCACUUAUGGAUGGACCCGCGUCGCAUUAGCUAGUUGGUGAGGUAACGGCUCACCAAAGGCAGACGAUGCGUAGCCGACCUGAGAGGGUGAUCGGCCACACUGGGACUGAGACACGGCCCAGACUCCUACGGGAGGCAGCAGUAGGGAGGCUUCCGCA